GAACGGGUGAGUAACACGUGGGCAAUCUGCCCUUCACUCUGGGACAAGCCCUGGAAACGGGGUCUAAUACCGGAUACGAGCCUCCAAGGCAUCUUGGGGGUUGGAAAGCUCCGGCGGUGAAGGAUGAGCCCGCGGCCUAUCAGCUUGUUGGUGAGGUAAUGGCUCACCAAGGCGACGACGGGUAGCCGGCCUGAGAGGGCGACCGGCCACACUGGGACUGAGACACGGCCCAGACUCCUACGGGAGGCAGCAGUGGGGAAUAUUGCACAAUGGGCGAAAGCCUGAUGCAGCGACGCCGCGUGAGGGAUGACGGCCUUCGGGUUGUAAACCUCUUUCAGCAGGGAAGAAGCGAAAGUGACGGUACCUGCAGAAGAAGCGCCGGCUAACUACGUGCCAGCAGCCGCGGUAAUACGUAGGGCGCAAGCGUUGUCCGGAAUUAUUGGGCGUAAAGAGCUCGUAGGCGGCUUGUCACGUCGAUUGUGAAAGCCCGAGGCUUAACCUCGGGUCUGCAGUCGAUACGGGCUAGCUAGAGUGUGGUAGGGGAGAUCGGAAUUCCUGGUGUAGCGGUGAAAUGCGCAGAUAUCAGGAGGAACACCGGUGGCGAAGGCGGAUCUCUGGGCCAUUACUGACGCUGAGGAGCGAAA
rnacentral:rRNA from 2 species